rnacentral:rRNA from 1 species
GAUGAACGCUGGCGGCGUGCCUAAUACAUGCAAGUCGAGCGAACAGACGAGGAGCUUGCUCCUCUUACGUUAGCGGCGGACGGGUGAGUAACACGUGGAUAACCUACCUAUAAGACUGGGAUAACUUCGGGAAACCUGAGCUAAUACCGGAUAAUAUAUUGAACCGCAUGGUUCAAUAGUGAAAGACGGUUUUGCUGUCACUUAUAGAUGGAUCCGCGCCGCAUUAGCUAGUUGGUAAGGUAACGGCUUACCAAGGCAACGAUGCGUAGCCGACCUGAGAGGGUGAUCGGCCACACUGGAACUGAGACACGGUCCAGACUCCUACGGGAGGCAGCAGUAGGGAAUAUUCAGCAAUGGGCGAAAGCCUGACGGAGCAACGCCGCGUGAGUGAUGAAGGUCUUCGGAUCGUAAAACUCUGUUAUUAGGGAAGAACAAAUGUGUAAGUAACUAUGCACGUCUUGACGGUACCUAAUCAGAAAGCAACGGCUAACUACGUG